UGCAGUCGAUCGGAAACACUUCGGGUGUCGAGAGGCGGACGGCUGAGUAACGCGUGGGAAUCCACCCCAAAGUGAGGGAUAAGCACCGGAAACGGUGUCUAAUACCGCAUAACCUCUUCGGAGAAAAGUAUUUAUACGCUCUGGGAGGAGCCCGCGUCGGAUUAGAUAGUUGGUAGGGUAAUGGCCUACCAAGUCGACGAUCCGUAGCUGGUCUGAGAGGAUGAUCAGCCAGACUGGAACUGAGAACGGUCCAGACUCCUACGGGAGGCAGCAGUGAGGAAUCUUCCACAAUGGGCGAAAGCCUGAUGGAGCAAUGCCGCGUGCAGGAUGAAGGCCUUCGGGUCGCAAACUGCUUUUAUUAGAGAAGAAUAUGACGGUAACUAAUGAAUAAGGGUCGGCUAACUACGUGCCAGCAGCCGCGGUCAUACGUAGGACCCAAGCGUUAUCCGGAGUGACUGGGCGUAAAAAGUUGCGUAGGCGGCGUGCUAAGCGAGCAAUGAAAACAGAGGGCUCAACCCUCUGCCUAUUGUUCGAACUGGUAUGCUCGAGAGUGGUAGAGGUUAUUGGAAUUUCUAGUGUAGGAGUGAAAUCCGUAGAUAUUAGAAGGAACACCGAUGGCGUAGGCAGAUAACUGGACCAUUUCUGACGCUAAGGCACGAAAGCGUGGGGAGCGAACCGGAUUAGAUACCCGGGUAGUCCACGCCGUAAACGAUGGAUGUUAAAUGUCGGGGGUAUCGACCCCUUCGGUAUUAAAGCUAACGCGUUAAACAUCCCGCCUGUGGAGUACGGCCGCAAGGCUAAAACAUAAAGGAAUUGACGGGGACCCGCACAAGCGGUGGAGGAUGUUCUUUAA
rnacentral:rRNA from 1 species